rnacentral:rRNA from 1 species
UACAGAGGGGGCAAGCGUUGUUCGGAAUUACUGGGCGUAAAGGGCGCGUAGGCGGCCGCCUAAGUCAGACGUGAAAUCCCUCGGCUCAACCGGGGAACUGCGUCUGAUACUGGGUGGCUUGAAUCCGGGAGAGGGAUGCGGAAUUCCAGGUGUAGCGGUGAAAUGCGUAGAUAUCUGGAGGAACACCGGUGGCGAAUGCGGCAUCCUGGACCGGCAUUGACGCUGAGGCGCGAAAGCCAGGGGAGCAAACGGG